AUGACAACAUCAAAUGCAGAUCCAUUUACAAACAAGGAACAAUUCGAUGCAGGAUUUUCAGAAAGACUGAAACUAAAAGACGAUGCUGUGCCAACUAUAUUGAAUCUGACAGUAAUGUCGCAACACAAGUAGACAAACUUUGAAAGAUUAUAAGAUAUUAUUCAUCAAAUCCCUCAAGGUCCACAAAAUCAAAAUAAGCAUACCGUCUGGUGGAACAUCACAGAAAAUACAAGGUAUGUGUUCUUUCCGCUGUUCUUAGUUUUUGUGAAAUCAAGCUAACCGAAAGAAGAGUUCUCCUUGGCAAUUGUAAUCGACGCCAUGCCAUAUUCCAUUUUCGUAUGUGCACAGAAAGCCCUGGAAGAAUUCUGCCAAUUAUACUGACAUAUUACUCCAAAGAAUAUAGAAUACCCAAGACCUGCCACUCGUAUAGUUUUGAAUGGAGAGAAAUGCAACGCUCAUUCAAUAUGGCCGCUCUAUCACAGGAAGCCUCACCUUUGAAAUAUAAGAGCCAAUUGCUAAUUGGUAAAGUCAGUGUGUCACUGCAAAUGGCAUUAAAAGUCCCUAUUGAGUGCUAUAGAAACAGUCAGUGUUCUGAGAUGUGGGCUUAGGACUGUGCAUGCACACUGGCUGGUCUGUGUUCACAGCAUGAAAAAUACGCUUUUAACGCUAUUUGAGCAGAAGAAACAACAUUUAUGAGACAGUUGUUGUCAGAUUUGGUGAUUGCAAAUAUGAAAUUUAAUCAUAAGCUUGGUAAACAGUUUUGGAGAAUUUGAUGUUCCCCCAUUCAAAAAGAUAGGAGCUGCACUUGCAUGCCUGAGAGGUGUUUCAAAGAUGGCUGCAGAGUGAAAUCACUUGCCUUAAAGGGUCAUUGACUACUCUUACUAUUUCUUUACAUUUAGCAGAAAUACCAAAAAUACUAUGGUAGUAUGCUAUUCCAAAUUCAGUCACCGAUUUUGAGCAUCACUCCAGAAGCCCUGCAUUUUAAAAAUUGUGGUCUAAUUUAAAACAGUCCAGAAUGUUCGUUUCAAGACCACUUUUCCAUUCAGUUUCCAUUCAGAUUUGCAUGUAAGAAUGUUUUAUGUAAACCAUUUUUAAACACUUUAAAAGUUAAAAAUAGCUAGAUAUCUUUUAAAUGUUUUCUGAUUCAAUCAUGUGUUUAAUCAAAAUGCCUUUGGAUUAAAUGAAUGUCAAACAAAUGAACGACAAACAAAUAGUAGGUUAUGCCAUUUUUGUCAUAGGCCUGCUGGUUAACUUUUGUCAUUUAAGGUUGAUUUAUUACAAUAAUGAUGCAAUGGAGUCAUGUGGAUUAUUUUGAUGUUUUUAUCAGCUGUUUGGACUCUUAUUCUGACGGCACCCAUUGACUGCAGAGCAUCCAUUGGUAUUCGAGUGAUGUAAUGCUACAAGGUUUUUCUGAUGAAGAAAAAACUCAUCUAAAUCUUAGAUGUCCUAAGGCUCACCGCCAUUUAGUACAAAUUACAGCCAUCAACUCCACCCACGUUGCAUCAUAGCCAUUGAUUCCCGAGGGAGCAAUUCUUCAAAUUUUCUUCAAAUCUUUCUUCCACAUGCCCAGCUGCACAUACUCCGUCGACUCUGUCCUUCUACUCCUGGCUUGUGAAUUCCACUCAAUUGCCCCGGUUAAUGGAGAGAACACAAUAAAGCAUCAGCCACUCUUGGAGGUAAAACUCCUCUAUGCGCCCCGACAUUGAGCAGGAAAUCUUCAAGCCUGAAUCGGCCUUGGCACAGCCUGGUUCUGUUUAGCAAUGCUGGGUUUACAUGAUCGACUGCCAUAUUGAUAGACCCUCCACCAUGGCACGGUAAUGCAUCCGGAAUGAGCUGAGAACUAAAAUCAGCCAUGCACCCUCACGCCCACCGCUGGCGUUCGACUCCGCUGUAAUAGUUUCUAUUUGUGGAAGAGGAAGGAUAUAAACAAAUGCAUUAGCUUUGCCUCGCCACAGGAACGACGGGGGAAAACAAGUCAAAACGAACAGCGGGAAAGAGAGGAGGUGAGGCGGUGGGUGCAGAAAGGAGUGGGGGAAGGCAGGAAUGAAAUGAAAAUGUUGCGAUUGGGAUGUAAAACUGCAAAGUGGCGUGAACAGAUAAGGAAAGGAGAGAGAGAGUGAGAGGGAUGGGGGGAGGACGAAGAUGGUGUGAGUAGAUCCAAUCUCCAACCCUGUCAAUCAGAACUGCAGUGUUUACUGCCCACACAUCCCUGCCCCUUUUACAGGCAUUACACAUGCAGUGAAGACUGUCUCGCGUUAGCCAUAUUGAUCAUGUGCCAGGGCAGACCGGCGGCCUCUGCUGAUUGAAUAUGUUGGAUGACUUCCAUUGUGGAGCUUCAUCUUCAAAGUGGUUCCGAAGCUCUGGAUCAAACGCAGAGUGUCGUAGGUGAUUACGGACGGUAAUGAUAAUGACUUUGUUCUGUUCUGGAUGACUGUUUGAUGAAUUUUGUUAGGCUUCUUCUGCGGCUCUGAAGUUCAAAGAGCCACGCCGA
ensembl:lncRNA